UACGAACGCUGGCGGCGUGCUUAACACAUGCAAGUCGAACGGAAAGGCCCUGCUUUUGUGGGGUGCUCGACUGUCUAACUGGUGAGUAACACGUGAGUAACCUGCCCUUGCCUUUGGGAUAACUUCAUGAAACUUGGUCUAAUACCGGAUAGGAUCUCCUGCUUCAUGGUGGGGGUUGGAUAGUUUCGGCGGUUGGGGAUGGACUCGCGGCUUAUCAGCUUGUUGGUGGGGUAGUGGCUUACCAAGGCUUUGACCGGUAGCCGGGCUGAGAGGGUGACCGGACAAAUUGGGACUGAGAUACGGCCCAGACUCCUACGGGAGGCAGCAGUGGGGAAUAUUGCACAAUGGGCGGAAGCCUGAUGCAGCAACGCAGCGUGCGGGAUGACGGCAUUCGGGUUGUAAACCGCUUUCGCCUGUGACGAAGCGUGAGUGACGGUAAUGGGUAAAGAAGCACCGGCUAACUACGUG
rnacentral:rRNA from 1 species